AUUGAACGCUGGCGGCAGGCUUAACACAUGCAAGUCGAGCGGAGUGAUGGUGCUUGCACUAUCACUUAGCGGCGGACGGGUGAGUAAUGCUUAGGAAUCUGCCUAUUAGUGGGGGACGACAUCUCGAAAGGGAUGCUAAUACCGCAUACGUCCUACGGGAGAAAGCAGGGGAUCACUUGUGACCUUGCGCUAAUAGAUGAGCCUAAGUCGGAUUAGCUAGUUGGUGGGGUAAAGGCCUACCAAGGCGACGAUCUGUAGCGGGUCUGAGAGGAUGAUCCGCCACACUGGGACUGAAACACGGCCCAGACUCCUACGGGAGGCAGCAGUGGGGAAUAUUGGACAAUGGGGGGAACCCUGAUCCAGCCAUGCCGCGUGUGUGAAGAAGGCCUUAUGGUUGUAAAGCACUUUAAGCGAGGAGGAGGCUCUUUUGGCUAAUACCCAAGAUGAGUGGACGUUACUCGCAGAAUAAGCACCGGCUAACUCUGUGCCAGCAGCCGCAGUAA
rnacentral:rRNA from 1 species